rnacentral:rRNA from 1 species
UCAAAGAUUAAGCCAUGCAUGUCUAAGUGCAAGCCGAAUUAAGGUGAAACCGCGGAAGGCUCAUUAUAUCAGUUAUGGUUCAAUAGAUCGUACUCAGUUACAUGGAUAACUGCGGAAAUACUGGAGCUAAUACAUGCCGACAGAGUCCCGACCGGAGACGGCAGGGACGCUUUUAUUAGAUCAAAACCAAUCGGGGGACCAACGUACCUGCGGAGUCUUCCUGGCUUGGUUCUUCAGUCCUCGUGGCUGGAGGCCUUGUCAGGCCCGCAAGGGCGCCUCCGUCCUUAUUGGUGACUCUGAAUAACUUUGGGCCGAUCGCACGGCCUCUAGCGCCGGCGACGCAUCUUUCAAAUGUCUGCCUUAUCAACUGUCGAUGGUAGGUUCUGCGCCUACCAUGGUUGUAACGGGUAACGGGGAAUCAGGGUUCGAUUCCGGAGAGGGAGCCUGAGAAACGGCUACCACAUCCAAGGAAGGCAGCAGGCGCGCAAAUUACCCACUCCCGGCUCGGGGAGGUAGUGACGAAAGAUAACGAUACGGGACUCAUCCGAGGCCCCGUAAUCGGAAUGACUACACUUUAAAUCCUUUAAGGAGUAUCAAUUGGAGGGCAAGUCUGGUGCCAGCAGCCGCGGUAAUUCCAGCUCCAAUAGCGUAUAUUAAAGUUGUUGCGGUUAAAAAGCUCGUAGUUGGAUCUGUGUCCCGCGCCGUCGGUUCACCGCCCGUCGGUGUUUUAACUGACGCGUUGCGGGACGUCCUGCCGGUGGCGCGUCCAGCCGCGAGGGGUUCCCCGCGCGCUCCCGGUUCUUCCCGGUGUUUUGGUUUAGCCGGCUCAGUGCGGCGGCCGUUACUGGGGCGGUGUGUUUUUGGUGUCUAAGCGGAAUUCCCGUUUCUUUAGUUUUGGAGGGGUUUUCUUUUUCCAUGAGGGGUCAAACCCGACUUGGGAGGGGGAGCUCUGAAGAUUCUUUAGGACGGUUUUCUUGUCUUUUUCCCAAGGCCCCGUCUCAAGGCACGUGCCUGGCUGGCGGCCCCCGGGGUCGGGGCGUGCGGUCCCUCGAGGGCGGCGCCGAUUCAAUCCCGUCGCGGUGCUCUUCACUGAGUGUCGAGGUGGGCCGGCACGUUUACUUUGAACAAAUUAGAGUGCUUCAAGCAGGCUGGAUAUCGCCUGAAUGCUAUGUGCAUGGAAUAAUGGAAUAGGACCUCGGUUCUAUUUUGUUGGUUUUCGGAAUCAGAGGUAAUGAUUAAUGGAGACAGGCGGGGGCAUUCGUAUUGCGACGUUAGAGGUGAAAUUCUUGGAUCGUCGCAAGACGGACCGAAGCGAAAGCAUUUGCCAAGGAUGUUCUCGUUGAUCAAGAACGAAAGUCAGAGGUUCGAAGGCGAUCAGAUACCGCCCUAGUUCUGACCAUUAACGAUGCCAGCUAGCGAUCCGCCGAAGCUCUCUUUUAUGGCUCGGCGGGCAGCUUCCGGGAAACCAAAGCUUUUGGGUUCCGGGGGAAGUAUGGUUGCAAAGCUGAAACUUAAAGGAAUUGACGGAAGGGCACCACCAGGAGUGGAGCCUGCGGCUUAAUUUGACUCAACACGGGAAACCUCACCAGGCCCGGACACUGGAAGGAUUGACAGAUUGAGAGCUCUUUCUUGAUUCAGUGGGUGGUGGUGCAUGGCCGUUCUUAGUUGGUGGAGCGAUUUGUCUGGUUAAUUCCGAUAACGAACGAGACUCUAGCCUGCUAACUAGUCGAUGGGGGUCAGGGGGUCGGUUGGGCCGGCGGGGCGGUCGGCCGGUGGGGAGCCUCUCGGGGUUCCUCUCCCGGUCGGUUUAGCUCCGUCGUCUGCUCGCCGUGCCUCCCCCCAACCCGGCAUCCUUUUUCAAAAGGUGGCUGCCGGCGAAAACAAACUCUUCUUAGAGGGACAGGCGGCUUCCAGCCGCACGAGAUUGAGCAAUAACAGGUCUGUGAUGCCCUUAGAUGUUCUGGGCCGCACGCGCGCUACAAUGAAGGUAUCAACGUGUGUCCCUAGGCCGAGAGGCCCGGGUAACCCGCUGAACCACCUUCGUGCUUGGGACUGGGGCUUGAAAUUGUUCCCCAUGAACGAGGAAUUCCCAGUAAAGGCGUGUCACUAGCACGCCUUGAUUACGUCCCUGCCCUUUGUACACACCGCCCGUCGCUACUACCGAUUGAAUGAAUUAGUGAGGUCUUCGGACCCGCGCGCGGUUCUCGUCCCGCGAGGGACCCCCGUCGCUGCAGGGAAGAUGAUCGAACUUGUUCAUUUAGAGGAAGUAAAAGUCGUAACAAGGUUUCCGUAGGUGAACCUGC